GUCAGAGGCACGCGCGGGUCGACGGCCGACGGUUCCACCGGGCGCACGCCAAAGGCGGCCCAUGCGCCGGCGCGGAUGGCCGCGGGCGCCAGCGACGCACACAAGAGACGUGCCUCCUGGGGCGUCGGCGGCGAGGUAUCUGCGGCAGGGUCCCCGCCGCUGCCCAGCAAGGUGGCCGCCGCCAGGACGUCGUCGACGGCACGGGGCCCGCAUGCGGUGCGCCGCGCGUCGACAAGGGCCUCGGGUUCGGCGUCCAGCCGCACCACGAGAUCGCUCGAAAAGGGCGUCGGCCAAAGGCCGCGCGCGAAUUCGUACUGCGGGCGGUCGCGCGCGCCCGCACACCCGCGCACCCAUCGAUGAAAGGCCAGGCGAUCGGCCACCAUCUCGGGCAGUCGGCCCUCAAAGGCCGGACCGCGGUAGACCGACGCCGCCGCCCCUUCGAGCGAUCGUCGCGCGUCGGCGUCGGCCAUGGCGCGCGCCGUCUUGGCCGCACGCUGGCCGGCAAAGAGAUCGACGGCAAGCCGCAGUUGAUCACCAUCGAGCCAAGUCACGAGGGCGGGCAUCUCAAUGUCGGGGUCAUAGGCGACGAUGGCUUCGGGUAGGCCCGCGAUAGAUCCCACCUGGAUUAGACCGCCGCGUACCUCGUCGACGCCGGCCACCGCGCCGAGCGUGCAACCAAAGAUAGUAUCCGCAUCUGUUUGGGGGCGUUGUAUCGCUGGCGCAUGCCCGCCCGCCUCAUUUGCGUCCUCGUCCCCACCGUACAUUUUGUCGGCGAAGCGACCCAGGAAUUCGGGCAAGAGGCGGGCCUCGUGCUGUCCCACGGCGGCCCUGGCCCGCGCAUAGUCCCGCACGUCGCCACGUGCGACAUGAAGUCCAUCUUGGUCCCGUGUUUCCGCCUCUCCUUCAUUUGGCGCUGCCCUGUCUGCCGCUUCCCAUUCGACAAUGCCCAAGGCGACAAGGGUCACAUUGCCGUCGGCGCCAACCUCGUACAGUUGCGCGAGCGCGUCAUACUCGUGGUCCUCGUCGGGUUCUGCCGACGGUGGCGACACAACGAUAGCAUAGGCAUGGUCGGCGGCCUCGCUUGCCAAGGGGUCGCGUGCGGCCGCCGCCGCGUCGAGCACAUAUUUCCACUGCGGGAGGGGGUGCGGAAAGGCCGGGUCGACGCUGCCGGGUCCGCGGGCUGCCAAGAGGUCCGCCCGGCAAAGGCGUCGCUGCAGGGAGGCGGGCAAAUCAACGGCCGGAUCUUGGUUGCCAAUGUCGACAAUGCCGCCCGCAAUCUCGAUUGCGUCAAAGAGGGCGGCGACGUCGGCCAGCGACGGCGGCCAGCGCCUGCCGACGACGGCUGCGGCGGCACGAGGUUCUCGCGCCAGCGCCAUCCAAAAGGCCUCAUAGUCGGCAAUGAGACCGUCGCAGUCGAUGGGGCCGUCGCCGUCGAUCUGCAUCCCGACCGUGAGGCGCGCCCAUUCGCUGAUGUCGCCGGCGGCCGGCGCAUGCGCGACCAGCCGGUUGCACAGGGAAUCGAGUGCCGUGGUGGCUUCUCGUGCAUCCGUGAGCGUCCACGCGCGCGCGCCGUCCAUCGCGUCGAGUGACAUGCACGGGCGUGAUAGGUCCGGACGUCGGCCCUUGUCUUUUGAAAAGAGGGGCGACCCAAGGGCAACAUGCAGGCGACGUAGAGAGGCGCACGGCGCCAUGGGUUGCGCCUACAUUCACCGCGCCUUUUCUUUGGACCGCCGGGCGCGCGCCGACACAAGGCAGCAAGGCAAAAGAAAAAAAGACUGGGCGAUGCAGCGCCAGAUGCACAUGCGCAGGCCCCGCUGCGCCUUGCGGUGCCGAGUUUUUUCCAUUUUUGUUUUGAAAUCAGAGCAAAAGGGUUUUGCGGCGGGCGUGCGCCGUCAGACAGCAGACAACGCGACGCGACGCAGGCCAAGGCAACCACUUUGCGUCGGUCGCAUAUACUGCCAACAAAAAAAAGGGCAAAUUGGAAAUGAAAAAAAAGUAUUUUGCACCCCCAUAUUCCUUGGAAUGAAAAAAAGAAGGUCGGUGUUUGGCG
rnacentral:lncRNA from 1 species